CUUUAGCGUAUGACUGUUAAUCAUAAGGUUAGGAGUUCAAGUCUCCUC
rnacentral:tRNA from 1 species